rnacentral:rRNA from 1 species
AUUGAACGCUGGCGGCAUGCUUUACACAUGCAAGUCGAACGGUAACAGGCCGCAAGGUGCUGACGAGUGGCGAACGGGUGAGUAAUGCAUCGGAACGUGCCCAGUCGUGGGGGAUAACGCAGCGAAAGCUGUGCUAAUACCGCAUACGAUCUAUGGAUGAAAGCGGGGGACCGUAAGGCCUCGCGCGAUUGGAGCGGCCGAUGUCAGAUUAGGUAGUUGGUGGGGUAAAGGCCUACCAAGCCAACGAUCUGUAGCUGGUCUGAGAGGACGACCAGCCACACUGGGACUGAGACACGGCCCAGACUCCUACGGGAGGCAGCAGUGGGGAAUUUCGGACAAUGGGCGCAAGCCUGAUCCAGCAAUGCCGCGUGCAGGAAGAAGGCCUUCGGGUUGUAAACUGCUUUUGUACGGAACGAAACGGUCUGGGUUAAUACCCUGGACUAAUGACGGUACCGUAAGAAUAAGCACCGGCUAACUACGUGCCAGCCGCCGCGGUAAAAC